AUUUAGUAUAAUUAGUUAAUAUUUAUUUUGUAAGAGUAGGCGUUGUGCUAAAUAAUGAUCCUAGAAGCUACAUUUAUAAUAUUUACCUCAGUUAAAAAAUACUGCUGGUAACGUUGAAGCACUGGCGGGCUUCGUCAACCGUCAGUUAUAAAAGCUCUGUUAAAUACAUUUUGUUCCGGGUUUUAAUGAAUUACGUUACAGUCCUGCUUUAUUUCUUUGUCAUUUUAAAUUAAAUUGCCAAGCACAAUAAGACAGCUGUGUUGUAAGGAGACGAAAUUCGAGACAGUAAUUUCAGUGAAGCGCGUGGUCAAAGGAACCAGGUGAAAGACGGUGUAAGGGAAAUUAUACAGUAUGUAAAUGUUUGUCGCAGUUUUACACAUAUUCCAUGAGUAUUUUUCGCUUGUUCACGAGUGUUUUAUCAGGGUUGGAGCUAAACUCCGAAGGAAAGUGGAAACUGCUGGCCACAGUUAAGAACAUUCCGCCGGUCUGUAUUAAUGCACGAUUGCAGUGCAGCGUUCGUAUCCGCAACACGUCUAGAUGGCAUGUUUUCUGUGAUGCCCACAAAUAAUUAAUGUGAUGAUAACCAUGGUUAAUAAAUGGUCAGACACGUCACUGGCUUUUAAAUAUAAACCCCAUUGAUGCAAAAAGAUGCUGCAUGGAAUGACAAUGAGGUUUGGAACAGACUUGGUGAAGAACAUGGAAACAUCUCUAAAUAAAAUGGCGCCAAACAUCAUCAGGAGUGCAAAAGAAGGAAGUAAAAAACAUCUCUACGCCAAUCUCAUUGGAGAGGAAACCACAGAAGGUCUGGUGAGGAAUGCUGCACUUCUGUUAUUGCAAGCAUUAUUUCAAGAAAAUCCCAGCUUCCUUUACUGUGUAAAUAGUGAACCCAAAGGUCCCACACCAACCAUAGUGUUCAACGGCUCUCCUGAUCAUCUCAAAUCUGAAAGUAUCAACUGUAUAAUGGACAAUGUGAACUUAAUAUGUGGAAGACAUUGACAUCACAGGCUGUGGAAUGACUGUGUCACAGGUCGGAGAAGCGGACCGCCCCUGUCGCGGAUCACGCUCCUCCUAGUUCCACCUUGAGGAGGUCCCAAAGCACCCCAAUGACCAGACAAACCAGAGAUAAGUAAAAUAUAAAAAUAGAAACUUUAUUUAAAUUAUCUAAAACUAAAGUGGGGAAUGGGAAAGGGAAUCUAAAAAUCUCGCUUCUCGCCCUCAGGGGGAGUAUUAAGGGGCCAGGGACGAAGGAUUUCCACGUGACUCCACCUCGAACACCGCUACAGAGCGUAUCUGGCUGGGUUGGGCACACACCGUCGCGGCGGCCCCUGAUGGCAUCCACAAAGGUCCAAGACCCUCCUAAGCUCCCAGCCGUAGCAGAACUACGUAUUUCAGCACCCGAACGACUAACAACCCAGCCGGCAUCUGCAGCGUAUAUCCAACGCGAUCAAACUUCACUCUGACAAUUAACUUCCUAUACACAACCACGCCGUCCUUUCGCCCGGACCAGCCCCGCACUCUUUCCGCCCGCUACCUAGCGGUCGCCGGAUCAGCAGAGCCUGCGGACUCUUCGGAGGCUGGUCUUCGUUGUGCUGCCCAAGGCGGAAGUUUACUUCCAGUAACUUCUACCUUCUCUCUUUAUAUCCCCAACCAUCGCUCGCCACGUCACUCACACAGCUGUGCCUUGUUUCAGCGAGUGCGGGGAUUCCCGGGGAACCCGGAAGUGCCGGUGUCUGUACAAACUGGUCCGGGCGGAACCUCUUCACUCUCCUUUUGGUUCCGCCCCGCAUAGUCACUCUGUGACAACUGUUUGCGUUUUUUUUCUCCUCAAUGUUCAAUACCCUUUUGCCAUAAAGCACACAGUGACUUUAAUUUAUAAAAUAUAUGCUUAAGUUUUAAUACCUGUACAAAACAAAUGUACAAUCAACUUGUGUAAAUUGUCAUUCUAUUUAAUAGAUUGUUCAUGAAUUGUCUUUAAAUGCAUUGUGAUUUCGGUAACACUUUACAAUAAGGUUCAUUAGUUAACAUUAGUUAAUGUAUUAACUAACUUGAACAAACCAUGAGCAAUACAUUUGUUACAGUAUUUAUUCAUCUUUGUUAAUGUUAGUUAAUUCAAAUUUAAGCUUUAAUUGCUUGUUCAUGUUAGUUCAGAGUGCAUUAACUAAUGUUAACAUGAUUUUAAUAAAGUAUAAGUAAUUGUUGAAAUUAACAUUAACAAAGAUUAAUAAAGGCUGUAUAAGUGCAGUUCAUUGUUAGUUCAUGUUAACUAAUGUAGCUAACUAAUGUUAACUAAUGAACCUUAUUGUAAAGUGUUACCGUGAUUUCUUUUCAUCAUUUCAGACACAUGUAAGUUACUAAAAAUUAGUACUGCAUAUACUGUACAGUAUCUAUGCGUAAGGGAAAUAACUUGAACAAAAUUUUUAAUGUGUAGUGUAAUUAAGAGUUUUUUUGGAGUGUUUAAUACAGAGAUGCAAUUUAUUUAUUUAUGUAUAAACGUAUGUAUGUUUAUUAAAAAGUGAAAAUGCUUAAUGGAAAUAAUUAAAUAACUAAAUGGUUGAAUGUAAUGAGACAUUUUAAAUGUAAACUAAAGUUUUGCUGUCUAAUACAGAAUAAAGAGAUGUGAUUUUAAGUAAUUUUUAUAGAUUUAUAUUUCUGUAUAAUAAAAUUAAUAAAUAAUAAACUUUUAUAAUUUUCUGGA